CCUACGGGUGGCAGCAGUCGAGAAUAAUUCACAAUGGACGAAAGUCUGAUGGUGCAACGCCGCGUGGAGGAUGAAGGUCUUCGGAUUGUAAACUCCUGUCAUCCGGGAGUAAGACCUGGCUGUGAAUAGCAGACAGGGUUGAUAGUACCGGAAGAGGAAGGGACGGCUAACUUCGUGCCAGCAGCCGCGGUAAUACGAAGGUCCCGAGCGUUGUUCGGAAUCACUGGGCGUAAAGGGAGCGUAGGCGGCGCGGUAAGUCAGAUGUGAAAUCCCGGGGCUCAACCCCGGAACUGCAUCCGAUACUGCCGUGCUAGAGGAUUGGAGAGGUAGCUGGAAUUCUUGGUGUAGCAGUGAAAUGCGUGGAGAUCAAGAGGAACACUCGUGGCGAAAGCGAGCUACUGGACAAUAUCUGACGCUGAGGCUCGAAGGCCAGGGUAGCGAAAGGGAUUAGAUACCCUUGUAGUC
rnacentral:rRNA from 1 species